CAUACUAGAAUAGUAGAUGUAUUAGGGUGAAAGAAUUAUUGGCUUGCAUAUGAAUCCAUUGCACGAAAAGAAAAAAGAAAAAAAAGGCUGCUCACGUUAGAAGAAUGCGUUGAAACAUCAAGUUUUAGACUUCAGAUUUUGAUCGUUCAGAGGCUCUACGCAAAGGGAAGACAUUAGUUUGAUUGUUCGUGGCACCCGCUCGGCAUUGAGAUUUUGAUCGUUCAGAGGCUCUACGCAAAGGGAAGACAUUAGUUUGAUUGUUCGUGGCACCCGCUCGGCAUUGAGAGUACUAUCCAGGCUCCAGUUCUACACCCCGUGGCUGACACGCGAGGGUGACAUCUUUCAGUCAUUCAGGGUGAGCUACUUGGUCAUCCGUGGCCCCUGAAGAACCUCCUCUAUUUAUUUCUGUUUUUGUAUUCGACAGACAAUAUGUAGCCUUCGGGUAUUUUCAGACUUAUAUUCCGUACUAUGUUAGCGCUCUUGUACCUUUUGACAAGAUUUUUGGGUUGUCGUGACAUUUCUAGUUAUGAUAAGUAUUUAAGACUUGAUAACUUA